AAUCCAUGUAAGGAAUUUUGGAGAGGAAGGUGGCAGCAUUACUAAUCAGAUGUUUGACUGGGAAAUGUAAAGAGAUAGUCAUUACAUGGACAUCUGGAGAAAAAAACAGCACAUGGAAGUAUCAAGUGUUCUGGGGCCGCCUAGGCAGAGGGAAAAGAUGAGAAUAGAGCUCCAGUCUAUUCUUGCUGCAGUAAUUUGAAAAUUAUGGGACCAUCAAUCUGUUGUGAAUGCUGUCUACAGCAGAUCUUAUCUCUCAGAGUUAUCAAACUGAGCUGCUCCAAAGGUUUGACAUAAAUUACAUGUUAAACGUAUAGUAAGUUGUUUCAGACUUUUAAUUUCUGUUCUCUUUUUUCAUUCAUGACACUAAUUUCACAACUGUAAAUUUUUUAAUAUAAAGUCUGAAGGGUCAAUGUGAAAAACUGGUAUUGCAAUCUGGCUCAAACUUCUGCUACAAUGUGAGAGUAUUUUUAAAAUGUGGUAUUAUGAGUAAUCGAUAAUAAUAGUCAUAGCCCUAGUAGAAUUCAUUUCAUCUCAAAGAAUUGCCCUAAGCAUUUCAUUAGAAUUUUGCCUCUAUCACUGUAUUUUAGCCACUCACAUUAGAUCAUUUUCAUUAUGAAAGAGUUUAUAAAAUUCAAAAAAGUGUCUUUAUAACCAUAUCAGUGAUAAGAUCAAUUUAAUUUUAGGUUACCAAUUUUGUAAGAAUCCUGACAGCUCAAUGUUAAAACUGGCAAGUACUUCAAAUUUUUACACAUAUCAUUUCUUAGAGAAGUAAAAGAAUAAUAUACUGCAAGAGCAUGUAACUAUCAGAACCACAUGGAAAAAUAUAUUUCAGGCUUUGGUAUGUUUAAAGAAAAGCUUCUACAAUUCUUAACAUUGAAGCUUAUCCACUAUAACCCUUGACUUAUUUAAUUACACUUUAAUUGUAUAUUAGUGUAUCAUCAAAAUUUUGCCUUUGAAAGAAAAUGUUAAAGCAUGUAAAUGGAAGAAUGUGAAGAUAUCUCCCUGAGGUUCCCAUCCAGGGGACUUGUUGGUGUCAUAUUUUUACCUCUGAAAUCGGUUUCUCAUAGACAUCUUCUCCUAUGGAUUUCUCCUGGGCAAGAAUGGCAUCUCGGUGCAGGACCCGCAGCACUUUCUCUGGCUCCGCAGACCCGUAAUGAGCCUCCAGAACCUCAGGCUUGGUUUUCUCUGUCUUCAGCAUGUGGAUCACAUCUUCUCUGGCCUGUAAUAGAAAGUGCAGCAAGAUCAGACGACUGACAAUGUAAAUCGCAUACUGGGCUCAAAAAUUCAACAGAGAGCUUAUUGAAUACA